rnacentral:rRNA from 1 species
GACGAACGCUGGCGGCGUGCCUAAUACGUGCAAGUAGAACGCACAGUUUAUACCGUAGCUUGCUACACCAUAGACUGUGAGUUGCGAACGGGUGAGUAACGCGUAGGUAACCUGCCUGGUAGCGGGGGAUAACUAUUGGAAACGAUAGCUAAUACCGCAUAAUAUUAAUUAUUGCAUGAUAAUUAAUUGAAAGGUGCAAUUGCACCACUACCAGAUGGACCUGCGUUGUAUUAGCUAGUAGGUGAGGUAACGGCUCACCUAGGCGACGAUACAUAGCCGACCUGAGAGGGUGAUCGGCCACACUGGGACUGAGACACGGCCCAGACUCCUACGGGAGGCAGCAGUAGGGAAUCUUCGGCAAUGGACGAAAGUCUGACCGAGCAACGCCGCGUGAGUGAAGAAGGUUUUCGGAUCGUAAAGCUCUGUUGUAAGAGAAGAACGGGUGUGAGAGUGGAAAGUUCACACUGUGACGGUAUCUUACCAGAAAGGGACGGCUAACUACGUG